AGAGGGGGCAAGCGUUGUUCGGAAUUACUGGGCGUAAAGGGCGCGUAGGCGGCCGCCUAAGUCAGACGUGAAAUCCCUCGGCUCAACCGGGGAACUGCGUCUGGUACUGGGUGGCUUGAAUUCGGGAGAGGGAUGCGGAAUUCCAGGUGUAGCGGUGAAAUGCGUAGAUAUCUGGAGGAACACCGGUGGCGAAGGCGGCAUCCUGGACCGAGAUUGACGCUGAGGCGCGAAAGCCAGGGGAGCAAACGGGAUUAGAUACCCCGGUAGUCCUGGCCCUAAACGAUGAGUGCUUGGUGUGGCGGGUAUCGAUCCCUGCCGUGCCGAAGCUAACGCAUUAAGCACUCCGCCUGGGGAGUACGGUCGCAAGGCUG
rnacentral:rRNA from 1 species